GCUUGCGGCGUCUAUAAUGCAGUCGACGAGUUCUGAUUAUUGAGAGGUGCUUGCAUCUUGAUUUAAUUUUGAACGAGUGGCGGACGGGUGAGUAACACGUGGGUAACCUGCCCUUAAGUGGGGGAUAACAUUUGGAAACAGAUGCUAAUACCGCAUAAAUCCAAGAACCGCAUGGUUCUUGGCUGAAAGAUGGCGUAAGCUAUCGCUUUUGGAUGGACCCGCGGCGUAUUAGCUAGUUGGUGAGGUAACGGCUCACCAAGGCAAUGAUACGUAGCCGAACUGAGAGGUUGAUCGGCCACAUUGGGACUGAGACACGGCCCAAACUCCUACGGGAGGCAGCAGUAGGGAAUCUUCCACAAUGGACGCAAGUCUGAUGGAGCAACGCCGCGUGAGUGAAGAAGGCUUUCGGGUCGUAAAACUCUGUUGUUGGAGAAGAAUGGUCGGCAGAGUAACUGUUGUCGGCGUGACGGUAUCCAACCAGAAAGCCACGGCUAACUACGUGCCAGCAGCCGCGGUAAUACGUAGGUGGCAAGCGUUAUCCGGAUUUAUUGGGCGUAAAGCGAGCGCAGGCGGUUUUUUAAGUCUGAUGUGAAAGCCCUCGGCUUAACCGAGGAAGUGCAUCGGAAACUGGGAAACUUGAGUGCAGAAGAGGACAGUGGAACUCCAUGUGUAGCGGUGAAAUGCGUAGAUAUAUGGAAGAACAUCAGUGGCGAAAGGCGGCUGUCUGGUCUGUAACUGACCGCUGAGGCUCGAAAGCAUUGGGUAGCGAACAGGAUUAAGAUACCCCUGGAUAGUCCAUGCCGUAAACUGAUGGAAUGCUAGGUGUUUGGAGGGUUUUCCGCCCCUCCGUGCCCGCAUGCUAAC
rnacentral:rRNA from 1 species